CUAGCUACUCCUCUCCCUGGUCUAGCUACUUCUCUCCCUGGUCCAGCUACUCCUCUCCCUGGUCCAGCUACUCCUUUACCUGGUCCAGCUACUCUUCUCCUGGUCCAGCUACUCCUCUCCCUGGUCCAGCUACUCCUCUGCCGGGUCCAGCUACUCCUCUGCCUGGUCCAGCUAUUCCUUUGCCUGGUCCAGCUACUCCUCUGCCUGGCCCAGCUACUCCUCUCCCUGGUCCAGCUACUCCUCUCCCUGGUCCAGCUACUCCUCUCCCUGGUCCAGCUACUGCUCUGCCUGGUCCAGCUACUUCUCUCCCUGGUCCAGCUACUCCUCUCCCUGGUCCAACUACCCCUCUCCCUGGUCCAACUACUGCUCUGCCUGGUCCAGCUACUACUCUCCCUGGUCUAGCUACUUCUCUCCCUGGUCCAGCUACUCCUCUCCCUGGUCCAGCUACUCCUCUCCCUGGUCCAACUACCCCUCUCCCUGGUCCAGCUACUCCUCUGCCUGGUCCAGCUACUCCUCUCCCUGGUCCAACUACUCCUCUGCCUGGUCCAGCUACUCUUCUCCCUGGUCCAGCUACUCCUCUCCCUGGUCCAGCUACUCCUCUCCCGGAUCCAGCUACUCCUCUGCCGGGUCCAGCUACUCCUCUGCCUGGUCCAACUACUCCUCUCCCUGGUCCAGCUACUCCUCUGCCUGGUCCAGCUACUCCUCUGCCUGGUCCAGCUACUCCUCUCCCUGGUCCAACUACUCCUCUGCCUGGUCCAGAUACUCGUCUCCCUGGUCUAGCUACUUCUCUCCCUGGUCCAGCUACUCCUCUCCCUGGUCCAGCUACUCCUCUGCCUGGUCCAGCUACUCCUCUGCCUGGUUCAGCUACUCUUCUGCCUGGUCCAGCUACUCCUCUGCCUGGUUCAGCUACUCCUCUGCCUGGUUCAGCUACUCUUCUGCCUGGACCAACUACUCCUCUGCCUGGUCAAGCUACUCCUUUGCCUUGUCCAACUACUGCUCUGCCUGGUCCAGCUACUCCUCUCCCUGGUCCAGCUACUCCCCUCCCUGGUCCAGCUACUCCUCUCCCUGGUCCAGCUACUCCUCUCCCUGGUCCAGCUACUGCUCUGCCUGGUCCAGCUACUCCUCUCCCUGGUCUAGCUACUUCUCUCCCUGGUCCAGCUACUCCUCUCCCUGGUCCAGCUACUCCUUUACCUGGUCCAGCUACUCUUCUCCUGGUCCAGCUACUCCUCUCCCUGGUCCAGCUACUCCUCUGCCGGGUCCAGCUACUCCUCUGCCUUGUCCAGCUAUUCCUUUGCCUGGUCCAGCUACUCCUCUGCCUGGCCCAGCUACUCCUCUCCCUGGUCCAACUACUGCUCUGCCUGGUCCAGCUACUCCUCUCCCUGGUCUAGCUACUUCUCUCCCUGGUCCAGCUACUUCUCUCCCUGGUCCAGCUACUCCUCUCCCUGGUCCAACUACCCCUCUCCCUGGUCCAACUACUGCUCUGCCUGGUCCAGCUACUACUCUCCCUGGUCUAGCUACUUCUCUCCCUGGUCCAGCUACUCCUCUCCCUGGUCCAGCUACUCCUCUCCCUGGUCCAACUACCCCUCUCCCUGGUCCAGCUACUCCUCUGCCUGGUCCAGCUACUCCUCUCCCUGGUCCAGCUACUCCUCUCCCGGAUCCAGCUACUCCUCUGCCGGGUCCAGCUACUCCUCUGCCUGGUCCAGCUACUCCUCUGCCUGGUCCAACUAUUCCUCUCCCUGGUCCAGCUACUCCUCUGCCUGGUCCAGCUACUCCUCUGCCUGGUCCAGCUACUCCUCUCCCUGGUCCAACUACUCCUCUGCCUGGUCCAGAUACUCGUCUCCCUGGUCCUGCUAUUCCUCUGACAUUUUUUUUCUCUCUACUCCUCUGUGUUGUGCUGUAUCCACAUUGAACAAAAUCAAUCCCCUUUUUACUGUGUAUGUCCACGUAAUUGAACAAACUUCAACACCUGGCUAUGUCUCCGAUUGAGAUUGGAAUCAGCUGUGGUUGGUCUAUUUUACACAACUUACAGUAAAUCAGCUAUGAUCCGUUGAUUCAAAAAUGCUUAUCAGCUGUUUCAAUAUAGCUUUUGAGCUGCUGUUGUUGCAGAAGUAGAGGCUUUAUACUAUAAGGUUUUGUUCAUUAGGUGUUCAUUUCUGGCAUGCUGUGUGCAAGCAUUUGUAAAUAAGACAAGAAA
ensembl:lncRNA